rnacentral:sRNA from 1 species
CUGUACUUUUGGAAACUAUGCACUUGGGCAGACAUUGUGCUCAAUACUUUGUUUCUUCAGAUGCCAUCAUUAAUGAGAACUAUGACUACCUGAAGGGGUUCUUGGAAGACCUGGCACCUCCAGAGCGCAGCAGCCUAAUUCAGGAUUGGGAAACAUCUGGGCUUGUUUACCUGGACUAUAUUAGAGUCAUUGAAAUGCUCCGCCAUAUACAGCAGGUGGAUUGCUCAGGUCAUGACCUGGAGCAGUUACACAUCAAAGUGACUUCACUGUGCGGUCGGAUAGAGCAGAUUCAGUGUUACAGUGCUAAAGAUCGCCUGGCUCAGUCAGACAUGGCCAAACGUGUAGCCAACCUGCUGCGUGUGGUGCUGAGUCUGCAUCAUCCUCCUGAUAGAACCUCCGACUCAACACCAGACCCUCAGCGAGUCCCUUUGCGCCUCUUGGCGCCCCACAUUGGCCGGCUUCCCAUGCCUGAGGACUAUGCCAUGGACGAAUUGCGCAGCCUUACCCAGUCCUAUCUGCGAGAACUGGCUGUUGGGAGCCUGUGAGCCCCAGGCACUCUGCAUCACAGUCACAUGCCCAUUCACACUCACCACGCAGAGGUUCCCUGCCGCCAGAAGCAGCAUCCU